CUGGCUCAGGAUGAACGCUGGCGGCGUGCCUAAUACAUGCAAGUCGAGCGAACAGACGAGGAGCUUGCUCCUUUGACGUUAGCGGCGGACGGGUGAGUAACACGUGGGUAACCUACCUAUAAGACUGGGAUAACUUCGGGAAACCGGAGCUAAUACCGGAUAAUAUUUCGAACCGCAUGGUUCGAUAGUGAAAGAUGGCUUUGCUAUCACUUAUAGAUGGACCUGCGCCGUAUUAGCUAGUUGGUAAGGUAACGGCUUACCAAGGCAACGAUACGUAGCCGACCUGAGAGGGUGAUCGGCCACACUGGAACUGAGACACGGUCCAGACUCCUACG
rnacentral:rRNA from 1 species